rnacentral:rRNA from 1 species
CAGCCGCCGCGGGAAUACGAGGGGGGCAAGCGUUGUUCGGAAUUAUUGGGCGUAAAGGGUGCGUAGGCGGUUUGAUAAGUCUUGUGUGAAAUCUCUGGGCUCAACCCAGAGUCUGCACAGGAAACUGUCAGGCUUGAGGCUGGGAGAGGUGAGUGGAAUUUCCGGUGUAGCGGUGAAAUGCGUAGAUAUCGGAAGGAACACCUGUGGCGAAAGCGGCUCACUGGACCAUUUCUGACGCUGAUGCACGAAAGCUAGGGGAGCAAACAGGAUUAGAUACCCCCGUAGUCCCUGUCUCUUAUAC